GGAUGAUGCUGUAGCUCAGAAAGGGACAUUGCACUUGUUUCAGCUUCACAUACGACUGUGCUUUCUUUCUUCUUUUUCUUCUUUUUUCCCACUUCAUCACUCAAUGCAACUUCAUGGCUUUGAACGGCAGAGGUAAAUUCAGACAUCUGUUCUUUAAGUUUCAUUCUUAUUUUCUUUUUAAUUGCAUUUACCUCAUUCUCAGCCACAUGCAACUGAUAGGCUCGAAUUAGCUCUUCUUCCUCUUCUAACUCAGUUGCGUUUCUCACUUCAGUGAAGGAAUUUUUAAUCUUUCCAUCACCUUCUUGAUGAGGUACAUCUGUUUGUGAUUUACUUUUUGUCUUUUUCUUUGGAAAAUCAUUAAUCUUUUUUUCAAAACUCUCCAAUUUAGCUUCACAUAAAUUCUCCUCCUCAUUAAAUUGUUCUUGUAACAACGAUUUCUUUUUCUUCUUGUUAGACUUUGCUUGCUUGCUCGCCUCUCCACUAACAACAUCAUUAUUUAUUUUCUC
rnacentral:lncRNA from 1 species